GAUGAACGCUGGCGGCGUGCCUAAUACAUGCAAGUCGAGCGAACAGAUGAGGAGCUUGCUCCUCUGACGUUAGCGGCGGGCGGGUGAGUAACACGUGGAUAACCUACCUAUAAGACUGGGAUAACUUCGGGAAACCGGAGCUAAUACCGGAUAAUAUAUUGAACCGCAUGGUUCAAUAGUGAAAGACGGUUUUGCUGUCACUUAUAGAUGGAUCCGCGCCGCAUUAGCUAGUUGGUAAGGUAACGGCUUACCAAGGCAACGAUGCGUAGCCGACCUGAGAGGGUGAUCGGCCACACUGGAACUGAGACACGGUCCAGACUCCUACGGGGGGCAGCAGUAGGGAAUCUUCCGCAAUGGGCGAAAGCCUGACGGAGCAACGCCGCGUGAGUGAUGAAGGUCUUCGGAUCGUAAAACUCUGUUAUUAGGGAAGAACAAAUGUGUAAGUAACUAUGCACGUCUUGACGGUACCUAAUCAGAAAGCCACGGCUAACUACGUG
rnacentral:rRNA from 1 species